GAUGAACGCUAGCUACAGGCUUAACACAUGCAAGUUGAGGGACCGUCGCACGGGUGAGUAACACGUAUCCAACCUGCCCUUUACUCGGGGAUAGCCUUUCGAAAGAAAGAUUAAUACCCGAUAUAAAGGAUGGGGAUCGGUUCCAUUAGGUUGUUGGUGAGGUAACGGCUCACCAAGCCUUCGAUGGAUAGGGGUUGUGAGAGGGAGGGCACCCUCAUAGGAGCUGAAACGACGUCCAAUCUCAUACUGGAGGAAGCAGUAGGGAGUGGUGGUGAAGGGGAGCUGGCCUGAACCAGGCAAGUAGGGUGAAGGAUAAAGGAUUAUGUGUCGUAAACUUCUUUUAUAAAGGAGUAUGUAUAAUAUGAAUAUGGAUCGGGUGACUCCGUGCCAGCAGCCGCGGUAAUAC
rnacentral:rRNA from 1 species